UGGGGAAUUUUGGACAAUGGGCGCAAGCCUGAUCCAGCAAUGCCGCGUGCAGGAUGAAGGCCUUCGGGUUGUAAACUGCUUUUGUACGGAGCGAAAAGGUCUGCCCUAAUACGGUGGGCUCAUGACGGUACCGUAAGAAUAAGCACCGGCUAACUACGUGCCAGCAGCCGCGGUAAUACGUAGGGUGCGAGCGUUAAUCGGAAUUACUGGGCGUAAAGCGUGCGCAGGCGGUGAUGUAAGACAGAUGUGAAAUCCCCUGGCCCAACCUGGGACCUGCAUUUGUGACUGCAUCGCUGGAGUGCGGCAGAGGGGGAUGGAAUUCCGCGUGUAGCAGUGAAAUGCGUAGAUAUGCGGAGGAACACCGAUGACGAAGGCAAUCCCUUGGGCCUGCACUGACGCUCAUGCACGAAAGCGUGGGGGGCAAACA
rnacentral:rRNA from 1 species